AGCGGCGGACGGGUGAGUAACGCGUGGGUAACCGUGCCUCAUACAGGGGGAUAACAGUUGGAAACGGCUGCUAAUACCGCAUAAGCGCACAGUACCGCAUGGUACGGUGUGAAAAACUACCGGUGGUAUGAGAUGGACCCGCGUCUGAUUAGGUAGUUGGUGGGGUAACGGCCUACCAAGCCGACGAUCAGUAGCCGACCUGAGAGGGUGACCGGCCACAUUGGGACUGAGACACGGCCCAA
rnacentral:rRNA from 1 species